UGCAGGAUGACGGUCCUAUGGAUUGUAAACUGCUUUUGUACGGGAAGAAACACUCCUUCGUGAAGGAGCUUGACGGUACCGUAAGAAUAAGGAUCGGCUAACUCCGUGCCAGCAGCCGCGGUAAUACGGAGGAUCCAAGCGUUAUCCGGAAUCAUUGGGUUUAAAGGGUCCGUAGGCGGUCUUGUAAGUCAGUGGUGAAAGCCCAUCGCUCAACGGUGGAACGGCCAUUGAUACUGCAGGACUUGAAUUAUUGGGAAGUAACUAGAAUAUGUAGUGUAGCGGUGAAAUGCUUAGAGAUUACAUGGAAUACCAAUUGCGAAGGCAGGUUACUACCAAUUGAUUGACGCUGAUGGACGAAAGCGUGGGUAGCGAACAGGAUUAGAUACCCUGGUAGUCCACGCCGUAAGCGA
rnacentral:rRNA from 1 species